UACGGGGGGGGCAAGCGUUGUUCGGAAUUACUGGGCGUAAAGGGCUCGUAGGCGGCCAACUAAGUCAGACGUGAAAUCCCUCGGCUUAACCGGGGAACUGCAUCUGAUACUGGAUGGCUUGAGUUCGGGAGAGGGAUGUGGAAUUCCCGGUGUAGUGGUGAAAUGCGUAGAGAUCGGGAGGAACACCUGUGGCGAAGGCGGCCCCCUGGGCCGGCCCUGACACUGAGACGCGAAGGCGUGGGGAGCGAACGGG
rnacentral:rRNA from 1 species